GCCCGGGUGGCGGAAUAGGCAGACGCGCUAGCUUGAGGGGCUAGUGACCUUUUGGUCGUGCUGGUUCGACUCCAGUCCCGGGCA
rnacentral:tRNA from 1 species